rnacentral:misc_RNA from 1 species
UUUUAGUAUCAUAACACCCACACACAAGCCAUUUGUGGUAUGAUGGGAAUUUCAUCAUGGGCCUAUUCGCAAUCUAUUGAGACUGUUGUGCUCUUAGGGAUUUGAGAAAUAUUUCACAGGCUGUUUAUUUGAAACCCCAAAUUGUCCUCAGAAGCAUAAUUUGGUGGGUUCUCCCUAAUACAAGUGUAUCAAUUAUAUCCAACUAUGCGGUUCGAUGAAUUCAGAGAGAAAACUUAAUAAUAAAAACAUG